CACAUACUCCCUCCGUUCCGAAUUACUUGUCGCAGGUAUGGAUGUAUCUAAAUGUAUUUUAGUUCUAGAUACAUCCAUUUCUAUGACAAGUAAUUUGGAACGAAGGGAGUAUUAU
rnacentral:pre_miRNA from 1 species